rnacentral:lncRNA from 1 species
GAAACUGUACUGCCUUAGCCGAAAUAGUUUCCGAUUUCUGGACCCUUCUGUGAAACCUCACGAAACUGUCGGAAACUGCAGAAACCCUGAAAAUGCUGUAUUUAAUGACGUUCUUGCUUAAUAAACGUUAUGAGUGGGCCCUACAUGCCGUCGCGCACCUAGGAUGCGCUCAGAGCACUCUCCGGCACCCUCGUCACUCUAUGGUCACCCGCCUGAGGCGAAAGGCUGCUUCAUCUGAACCAUCUUUUGUGCCAUUGGUAUAUUAUCUUGAGGUCACUACUGUCAGCAGCUCGUGCCUAACAUCAGGCGGGACUGGACCUGCGCACUUGUGAGCAAUGUGUAUGCGCAUCUCCUGAAGGCGCCCUUGCUGGAACUCGAUCCGGCAGUACUAGCAGAUGAUAAUCCAGUUCUAAGACUUUGCAUUACAUAUCAGCCCAAACGGUCUGAUCAGCGGGCCUUCCGCCCUUGUUUUUGACCUGCUCUGUGUCUGCACUGACAACGGAAGUUGUCUGAGACAUUGUUAAGAUAAACUCAACAUUCGCAGAGUUUCGCAGCCUUGCAUAACGCGCCUACGCUUUGAAACUAUUCAAAGUAGGUUCUGCCGUACGGCGG